AGCCCCGUACACAAAAAUGCACAUGCUGUGAGCUCGAUGAGUAGGGCGGGACACGUGGUAUCCUGUCUGAAUAUGGGGGGACCAUCCUCCAAGGCUAAAUACUCCUGACUGACCGAUAGUGAACCAGUACCGUGAGGGAAAGGCGAAAAGAACCCCGGCGAGGGGAGUGAAAAAGAACCUGAAACCGUGUACGUACAAGCAGUGGGAGCACGCUUAGGCGUGUGACUGCGUACCUUUUGUAUAAUGGGUCAGCGACUUAUAUUCUGUAGCAAGGUUAACCGAAUAGGGGAGCCGAAGGGAAACCGAGUCUUAACUGGGCGUUAAGUUGCAGGGUAUAGACCCGAAACCCGGUGAUCUAGCCAUGGGCAGGUUGAAGGUUGGGUAACACUAACUGGAGGACCGAACCGACUAAUGUUGAAAAAUUAGCGGAUGACUUGUGGCUGGGGGUGAAAGGCCAAUCAAACCGGGAGAUAGCUGGUUCUCCCCGAAAGCUAUUUAGGUAGCGCCUCGUGAAUUCAUCUCCGGGGGUAGAGCACUGUUUCGGCAAGGGGGUCAUCCCGACUUACCAACCCGAUGCAAACUGCGAAUACCGGAGAAUGUUAUCACGGGAGACACACGGCGGGUGCUAACGUCCGUCGUGAAGAGGGAAACAACCCAGACCGCCAGCUAAGGUCCCAAAGUCAUGGUUAAGUGGGAAACGAUGUGGGAAGGCCCAGACAGCCAGGAUGUUGGCUUAGAAGCAGCCAUCAUUUAAAGAAAGCGUAAUAGCUCACUGGUCGAGUCGGCCUGCGCGGAAGAUGUAACGGGGCUAAACCAUGCACCGAAGCUGCGGCAGCGACGCUUAUGCGUUGUUGGGUAGGGGAGCGUUCUGUAAGCCUGCGAAGGUGUGCUGUGAGGCAUGCUGGAGGUAUCAGAAGUGCGAAUGCUGACAUAAGUAACGAUAAAGCGGGUGAAAAGCCCGCUCGCCGGAAGACCAAGGGUUCCUGUCCAACGUUAAUCGGGGCAGGGUGAGUCGACCCCUAAGGCGAGGCCGAAAGGCGUAGUCGAUGGGAAACAGGUUAAUAUUCCUGUACUUGGUGUUACUGCGAAGGGGGGACGGAGAAGGCUAUGUUGGCCGGGCGACGGUUGUCCCGGUUUAAGCGUGUAGGCUGGUUUUCCAGGCAAAUCCGGAAAAUCAAGGCUGAGGCGUGAUGACGAGGCACUACGGUGCUGAAGCAACAAAUGCCCUGCUUCCAGGAAAAGCCUCUAAGCAUCAGGUAACAUCAAAUCGUACCCCAAACCGACACAGGUGGUCAGGUAGAGAAUACCAAGGCGCUUGAGAGAACUCGGGUGAAGGAACUAGGCAAAAUGGUGCCGUAACUUCGGGAGAAGG
rnacentral:rRNA from 1 species